AUUGAACGCUGGCGGCAGGCUUAACACAUGCAAGUCGAGCGGGGUGAGGUGCUUCGGUACUGAUCCUAGCGGCGGGCGGGUGAGUAAUGCUUAGGAAUCUGCCAUUUAGUGGGGGACAACAUUCCGAAAGGGAUGCUAAUACCGCAUACGUCCUACGGGAGAAAGCAGGGGAUCUUCGGACCUUGCGCUAAAUGAUGAGCCUAAGUCGGAUUAGCUAGUUGGUGGGGUAAAGGCCUACCAAGGCGACGAUCUGUAGCGGGUCUGAGAGGCUGAUCCGCCACACCGGGACUGAGACACGGCCCAGACUCCUACGGGAGGCAGCAGUGGGGAAUAUUGGACAAUGGGCGGAAGCCUGAUCCUGCCAUGCCGCGUGUGUGAAGAAGGCCUUUUGGUUGUAAAGCACUUUAAGCGAGGAGGAGGCUACCUAGAUUAAUACUCUGGGAUAGUGGACGUUACUCGCAGAAUAAGCACCGGCUAACUCUGUGCCAGCCGCCGCCGUAAGAC
rnacentral:rRNA from 1 species